GGGAAGGUGGCUCAGUGGUAGAGUGCUUGCCUUGCAUGCAUGAGGCAUGGGUUCAUUCCUC
rnacentral:tRNA from 1 species